GGGCAAAGGUCAGGGGUCACACGGGGACACUGCUGCCAGGGGUCCUGUCUGUCAGGAGCAAAGGUCAGGGGUCAGUCUGGGGUCAUUGGUCACUCAGGGUCACUCAGGGUCACUCACUCCAGCCGGUAUUGGAGGUUCAAUCUCCGGGGGCCCGGGGCUGUCCCAGGAGCAGGGACGGGGGCGGUGAGGGGGCAGUGGGGGGGCGGUGAGGGGUCACUCAUUGGUCACUCAUUGGUCACUCAGUGGUCACUCAUUGGUCACUCAGGGGUCACUCAGGGGUCACUCAUUGGUCAUUGGUCACUCAGUGGUCACUCAGGGGUCACUCAUUGGUCACUCAUUGGUCACUCAUUGGUCACUCAUUGGUCACUCAGGGGUCACUCAUUGGUCACUCAUUGGUCACUCAGUGGUCAUUGGUCACUCAGUGGUCACUCAGUGGUCACUCAGGGGUCACUCAUUGGUCACUCAUUGGUCACUCAGUGGUCACUCAUUGGUCAUUGGUCACUCAGUGGUCACUCAGUGGUCACUCAUUGGUCAUUGGUCACUCAGGGGUCACUCAUUGGUCACUCAGUGGUCACUCAUUGGUCAUUGGUCACUCAGUGGUCACUCAUUGGUCACUCAGUGGUCACUCAUUGGUCAUUGGUCACUCAGGGGUCACUCAGGGUCACUCGGGGGUCACUCACUCGAGCCGGUACUCCAUGCGGAAUCGCCGGUGGUCAGCGGCCCCGGGGCUGUCCCAGAAGCAGUGAGGGGGCAGUGAGGGGUCAUUGGUCACUCAUUGGUCACUCAUUGGUCAUUGGUCACUCAGUGGUCACUCAUUGGUCACUCAUUGGUCAUUGGUCACUCAGGGGUCACUCAGGGUCACUCAUUGGUCACUCAGUGGUCACUCAUUGGUCACUCAUUGGUCACUCAUUGGUCACUCAUUGGUCAUUGGUCAGUCAUUGGUCACUCAGGGUCACUCAUUGGUCAUUGGUCACUCAGGGGUCACUCAGGGUCACUCAUUGGUCACUCACUCGAGCCGGUACUCCAUGCGGAAUCUCCGCGUGUCGGGCGCCCCGGGGUCCCAGAAGCAGUGAGGGGGCAGUGAGGGGGCAGCGAGGGUCACUCAUUGGUCACUCAGGGGUCAUUGGUCACUCAUUGGUCACUCAUUGGUCACUCAGGGGUCACUCAUUGGUCACUCACUCGAGCCGGUACUCCAUGCGGUAUCUCCGGGUGUCGGUCAGCGCCCCGGGGCUGUCCCAGAAGCAGCUCAGCUCGUGCAGCGCGCGUGAAGCAGUGCGGGGGCUGCGGGUCCGAGCGCUGCACGAUGGACACUGCCGCGGGGUCACACAGGGGUCACACAGGGGUCACCGGGGUCACACCGGGGUCACAGGGGUCAUACAGGGUCACACAGGGGUCACCCAGGGGUCACCCAGGGGUCACCCAGGGGUCACCCAGGGGUCACACAGGGGUCACCCAGGGGUCACACAGGGGUCACCCAGGGGUCACACCGGGGUCACACAGGGGUCACCCAGGGGUCACACAGGGGUCACACCGGGGUCACAGGGGUCAUACAGGGUCACACAGGGGUCACACCGGGGUCACACAGGGGUCACCCAGGGGUCACACAGGGGUCACACAGGGGUCACAGGGUCCCAAGGGCUCACAGGGGUCACACAGGGGUCACACAGGGUCACACAGGGGUGCACAGGGGCCCAGGGGUCACCGGGGUCACACAGGGGUCACCGGGGUCACGGGGGGUCACACAGGGGUCAUACAGGGUCACACCGGGGUCACACAGGGGUCACACAGGGGUCACCGGGGUCACACCGGGGUCACAGGGGUCAUACAGGGUCACACAGGGGUCACACCGGGGUCACACAGGGGUCACCCAGGGGUCACACAGGGGUCACACAGGGGUCACAGGGGUCACCAGGGCUCACAGGGGUCACACAGGGGUCACACAGGGGUCACACAGGGGUCACACAGGGGUCACAGGGGUCACCGGGGUCACACAGGGGUCACCGGGGUCACCGGGGUCACACAGGGGUCAUACAGGGUCACACCGGGGUCACACAGGGGUCACACAGGGGUCACCAGGGGUCACACAGGGGUCACACAGGGGUCACACAGGGGUCACGCAAGGAAUUCCACACCAACACCCCCAAAAUCAGCUCCCCAAAUCUCGUCCUGAACGGCCCCAAAAUCUCCCCAAACUCCCUC
rnacentral:lncRNA from 1 species